UACGUGGGUAACCUGCCCUAAGGUGGGGGAUAACAUUUGGAAACAUGAUGCUAAUACCGCAUAAAACCUAGCACCGCAUGGUGCAAGGUUGAAAGAUGGUUUCAGCUAUCACUUUAGGAUGGACCCGCGGUGCAUUAGUUAGUUGGUGAGGUAAAGGCUCACCAAGACCGUGAUGCAUAGCCGACCUGAGAGGGUAAUCGGCCACACUGGGACUGAGACACGGCCCAGACUCCUACGGGAGGCAGCAGUAGGGAAUCUUCCACAAUGGACGAAUGUCUGAUGGAGCAACGCCGCGUGAGUGAAGAAGGUUUUCGGAUCGUAAAUCUCUGUUGUUGGAGAAGAACGUAUUUGAUAGUAACUGAUCAGGUAGUGACGGUAUCCAACCAGAAAGCCACGGCUAACUACGUGCCAGCAGCCGCGGUAAUACGUAGGUGGCAAGCGUUGUCCGGAUUUAUUGGGCGUAAAGCGAGCGCAGGCGGUUUCUUAAGUCUGAUGUGAAAGCCUUCGGCUCAACCGAAGAUGUGCAUCGGAAACUGGGAAACUUGAGUGCAGAAGAGGACAGUGGAACUCCAUGUGUAGCGGUGAAAUGCGUAGAUAUAUGGAAGAACACCAGUGGCGAAGGCGGCUGUCUGGUCUGUAACUGACGCUGAGGCUCGAAAGCAUGGGUAGCAAACAGGAUUAGAUACCCUGGUAGUCCAUGCCGUAAACGAUGAGUGCUAGGUGUUGGAGGGUUUCCGCCCUUCAGUGCCGCAGCUAACGCAUUAAGCACUCCGCCUGGGGAGUACGACCGCAAGGUUGAAACUCAAAGGAAUUGACGGGGGCCCGCACAAGCGGUGGAGCAUGUGGUUUAAUUCGAAGCAACGCGAAGAACCUUACCAGGUCUUGACAUCCUUUGACCACUCUAGAGAUAGAGCUUUCCCUUCGGGGACAAAGUGACAGGUAAGGUGCAUGGUUGUCGUCAGCUCGUGUCGUGAGAUGUUGGGUUAAGUCCCGCAACGAGCGCAACCCUUAUUACUAGUUGCCAGCAUUUAGUAGGGCACUCUAGUGAGACUGCCGGUGACAAACCGGAGGAAGGUGGGGACGACGUCAAAUCAUCAUGCCCCUUAUGACCUGGGCUACACACGUGCUACAAUGGAUGGUACAACGAGUCGCGAGACCGCGAGGUUUAGCUAAUCUCUUAAAACCAUUCUCAGUUCGGAUUGUAGGCUGCAACUCGCCUACAUGAAGCCGGAAUCGCUAGUAAUCGCGGAUCAGCAUGCCGCGGUGAAUACGUUCCCGGGCCUUGUACACACCGCCCGUCACACCAUGAGAGUUUGUAG
rnacentral:rRNA from 2 species